UACGUAGGGUGCAAGCGUUGUCCGGAAUUAUUGGGCGUAAAGAGCUCGUAGGCGGUUUGUCGCGUCUGCUGUGAAAACUCAGGGCUUAACCCUGAGCCUGCAGUGGGUACGGGCAGACUAGAGUGUGGUAGGGGAGAUCGGAAUUCCUGGUGUAGCGGUGGAAUGCGCAGAUAUCAGGAGGAACACCGGUGGCGAAGGCGGACCUCUGGGCCAUAACUGACGCUGAGGAGCGAAAGCGUGGGGAGCGAACAGG
rnacentral:rRNA from 1 species